CACAGUACUCCAGUGAGAGACCAUUCACCUGCUCUGAGUGUGGGAAGCAGUUCAUUCAGAUAUCCAGCUUGAUGAAACACCGGUGAGUUCACAAGUAACCACAGUGAUUGGAUUUAUUUUGUUUGUUCAUGGGAUCAUGGCAUCACUUGCUGGGGCAGCAUUUGUCAUUCAUUCUGACUGCCUAGAAGAUGGUCCAGGGUCAACCCCAUUAUUCAGGGUCCGGAUUCACAUGUCUGCUGGACCAGGUUAGAAUUAACAGUUUCCCAGACCCAAUGACAUGAAGAGUUGAUUUCUGGCCUAUUAUUUAUGUAAUGAUAAUGAAUAAUUUUUGCAGUUGAAUUAAAAGUGAAAAACCAAAAUGUGUUUUAUUCUGAUUGAGCACGUCCUCCUUUUUUCUCAGUUGUUAUUGAUAGUCUCAUUCCUCUCGCACCA